AUUGAACGCUGGCGGCAGGCCUAACACAUGCAAGUCGAGCGGGGGUAGCAAUACCCUAGCGGCGAACGGGUGAGGAAUGCUUGGGAAUCUGCCUCGUAGUGGGGGAUAACGUUCCGAAAGGAACGCUAAUACCGCAUACGUCCUACGGGAGAAAGGGGGGAUCUUCGGACCUCUCGCUAUGAGAUGAGCCCAAGCGGGAUUAGCUAGUUGGUGAGGUAAAGGCUCACCAAGGCUACGAUCCCUAGCUGGUCUGAGAGGAUGAUCAGCCACACUGGAACUGAGACACGGUCCAGACUCCUACGGGAGGCAGCAGUGGGGAAUAUUGGACAAUGGGCGAAAGCCUGAUCCAGCCAUGCCGCGUGUGUGAAGAAGGCCUCGGUU
rnacentral:rRNA from 1 species